rnacentral:lncRNA from 1 species
CCGGUUCAAGACAAAGACAGUCUAAAAAAAUGUUAUGAACAAAAGAUAGUAACGAAAACAACAGAUAGUGUAGCUGAAUAUUACUAUAAUCAAAUAACUCUUGAAUCCGUCCAUAGCCAACAUUUCACACCUCCGCAAUGACCCAUUCAUGCAUCUCCUCAUAACAAGCCUAAACCAUCUCAACCUCGCUUCCCGUAUCUUGUCUUCCACUGAAGUCACUAUUUUGGACGUAAAAAUUGUGAAAUUCGAAAAAAAAAAGUAGUAUUUGAUCUCAAGUUGAAAAUGGAAGAUUAUUUGAAAAUCGAAAUUGUGUUUGGAUAUGAAUACAAACUGAAGUUAUUUUAAAUUUUAUGUAAGUAAUUUGGGGUGAAAAUUGUGAAAACAGUAUUUUCGUGUUCUUUUUAUUCCAAAAAAUUAUAACAAUUCUAUAUCAAAAUAGUUUUUUCAGAAUAAUAUUUCAGAAAAAAGUGAAAAAAUAUUCAUGACCUAAUGGGCAAUUAGCAUCCAAGAAUGUGAAAUCAAAAAAAAAAUAAAAAAUCUCACUAAGUAUUGUUUUAAACUUUUAAUUAGAAUAAUUGUCAAGGAGUCAGCUUCUGCAAUAACAGCUAAUAUAAUUAAAAUGAAAUAAAUUCACUAUAUUUAUAUUGAAUACUUUACAUGCAUGUACCUGCAAAGGACAAUAUAUAAUUGGACUAAAUUUUAUUAUACAUUAGUACAUAUAAAUAAUUAAUAACUUUUUUCCAGUACAAAUCUGUCAUGACCUGGCACAGAUCAUAAUGAAUAAUCAAGCAAAUAUGUAAUUAAGUUUAUCUUCUAUACACUCAUAAUGAAUAAUAUAAUUUUUUCCAUCACCAAUUAUAGGGCUUGUUUGGUAAAAGAGAUAAAAGAGAUAACUAAUCUCGAGAUUAAUUUUAAGAUGCGAUUAUCCUAUGUUUGGUUGAAAAAAAUGCACGGAUAACUCAUUGUGGAAUUAGUUAUCUCAAGAUUGUAGUGUUAUUUUUAACGAUGGGAUAACUAACUAGAAUAACUAAUCUCAAAACAAUUAAUUCCAGGAUAACUUAUUUCCCAGCCAAACGACCCUUAAGUAAAUGAAACCACUGCUUUCCUAUUAGUUGUCAUGUUUAUUCAUUGUCGUUUUUUCCUUUUCGUUACUACUUUAAUUUGUUUCAUUUGAGUCGAGAGUCUUUUCAAAACAGUUUCCCUACGUACCUUCAAAUGGUAGGGGUAAGAUAAGAUCUGCAUACACCUAUAUAUAUAUAUAAAAAGAAACAAUUUUUCUUUAUGUCAUACAAAGAAGAAGUAAAAGUGGGAUCUGAUCAUAUAAAAUUAAAGCAAGAAAAAGAUUAUAUACUAUAUAUAUGUUUUUUUUGUUUUUUGUUUUUCAUCCGGUGUCCGGUACCUGCAUUGGAAACCGACUAAUUCGAAUUCGCGCCGGGUAGGGCUCCAUUUGGGGUAGUGCUCCCAACAGAGUUUUUCUCCAUGCCCAAGGUCGAAUCCUCAACCUCUGGUUAAGGGUGGAGCAGCCCCAUCCGCUGCACCACAACCCAUGUUGGUUACUAUAUAUAUGUUCAUCUACUUUCAACAUGGUUGUAUUUGAUAUUAAUAUGGAGAGAGCAUACAUAAUAUUUUUCUCUUGAAGUGAUUUAUUAAUGCUGCAAUAUUUAUAACUUCUCUUUCUGCAAAUUUUAAAGUUGUAGUGGUUAAAAUGGCUGGCAAAUUAGCUAUGGCCUGACAUAAUGAAAUACCUUACCUAAUUUAAAUAAAUACCUUUAAUAAAAUUUAUGUAGACAUAGUUGGGAAGGCUCCAUAUGAGAAGGAAAUGACAAGAUUGUGGUCCAUAUUAAAUUCCAACAAAAUGGAAAUUUUCAUAAUUGCUAUGAAGUAAAAUGGUGCUCAUGCAUUAUUUCUUUUGAGUGUAUAGUAUAUCGGAAACAACCUUUCUACUUCAUCUGAGAUAGUGGUAGGACUGCAUACAUUUUAUCCUUCUCAGACUUCACUUUAUGGGAAUACACUGGGUAUAUUAUUGCUGCUGUUGUUGUUAUUAAGUCAAUAGUCUAUCGGAAACAGCCUCUAACGGUAUGAACUGUGUACACUUUACCCUCUCCAGAUUCCACUUUAUAGGAAUAUAUUGGGUAUGUUGUUGUUGUUGUUGAGUUGAUAGUCUAUCGAAAACAACUUCUUUACUUUAUUUGAAGUAGUGGUGUGGACUGCGUACACUUUACCCUCUCCAGACUCCAUUUUAUGGGAAUACACUGGGUAUAUUGUUGUUGUUGUUGAGUCAAUAGUUUAUCGAAAACAACUUCUUUACUUCAUCUGAAGUAGUGGUAUGGACUGUGUGCACUUUAUCCUCCUCAGACCCCACUUUAUAGGAAUACACUAGGUAUGUUGUUGUUACUAUUGUUGUUGUUGAGUCGAUAGUCUAUCAGAAACAGUCUCUCUACUUCAUCUGGAGUAGUGUGGUAUGGACUGCGUACACUUUACCGUCCCCAGACUCUACUUUAUGGAAAUACACUGGGUGUAUUAUUGUUGUUUUUGAGUCAAUAGCCUAUCGAAAACAACCUCUCUACUGCAUCUGAGGUAGUGAUAUGGACCGCAUAAAUUUUACCCUCCUCAAACUCCACUUUAUAGGAAUACACUAGGUAUGUUGUUGUUGCUGUCGUUGUUGUUGAGUCAAUAGUCUAUCGAAAACAGUCUCUUUACAUCACAAAGAAAGAAAUAAGGUUUGUGUAUAUCAUUCACAAAGAAAGAAAUAAGGUUUGUGUAUAUCAUGCUCUUUUCAAACUCCACUUGUGAAUUACACCGAAUACGUAGUUAUUGUAUAUAUAAUCCACGAAAAGAGGCUCAAGUUUUUUUUUUGUUUUUAUUUUUCACCUGACGUGGAGUACUCAUUUUGGGAGUAACUCUGACUAAUCCAAAUUCACGUUAUGUAAAUGUUCAUAUUUUAAUAGAGUUAAAAGGAUCGAGACCUAUAAUUAAAGAUGGAGAGAUGUUACCUAUAUAUUCACCACAAGUAUUGGUGGUGAAACUUGAAAGGGAUCAAAUAUGGUAAAAAAUUCUUAGAUCAAACAUAGUAACAUACAAAAAUAUAGAUCAUAUAAAUUAGUAUGAAAGUUUAAUAUGUACCUAUUUGAGGAUUGAUGUACAAUACUAGGCCUCAGUGGAACAAAUACCACAUGUUGGACAGUUCAAUGCACUAAAAUUUUCGCUAUAUUUAGGGUUAACGAAAGAGCUAGACUACAAGAGUCUACUGUACGUACCGUACCCUGCAUUUAACAAGAGACUGUUUUCACGACCUGAACUCACAUGAAGGCAACUUUACAUUGACUGUACGUACCAUACCCUGCAUUUAACAAGAGACUAUUUUCACGAUCUGAACUCACAUGAAGGCAACUUUACAUUGACUGUACGUAUCGUACCCUGCAUUUAACAAGAGACUGUUUUCACGACCUAAACUCACAUGGAGGCAACUUUACAUUGAUUGUAAAGUAUCGUACCCUGCAUUUAAAAAGAGACUGUUUUCACGACCUAAACUCACAUGAAGGCAACUUUACAUUGACUGUACGUACCGUACCCUACAUUUAACAAGAGACUGUUUUCACAACCUGAACUCACAUAGGCAACUUAACAAUGUAAGAUAUUCAAUACGAGUUCAGUAAAAUUCAAUAAUUUUGAUUCAAACCUUCUAUAUAUGUUAGAGAAAUUUACCAAAUGCAUACAAAAUAAAAUUCAUAAUUGAAAUUAAAUGUUGUUUAUGAAAUUAAACCAAUUGCUUUCUUGAGUUGGGGUGGGGGCCUAUAAUACUAUAUUAAUUGGAACUUAUGGAAAGAUUAAAAAAGGACACCAUGUGAUAACAAAUCACUAAAAACCAAACAUGGAUUAAUAAAGUUACAAAAAUAUAAAUCAACAAAUAAAGUUUCCAACAUAAUUCACAAAAUUGAGAAAUAAUAGAUCUAGUGAUAGAGAAUAACUCAC